CGACCUUAGAGAUCCUGCUUGGUAUGGGAUUGAUGAAGUUGAACUUGACAAAAGGAGGAGAUGGACAAGCACUGCUCGUACUCAGGUGCGCAACAUGAAGAAAACAGUAGUAGCUGGAAAGGAGUUGGAUAUAACAAGCACUUCUAAUGUAAAUGGAAUGCGCCGUGAACUAAUGAGGCUACCAAAUUCUCAUCAGACUGACAGAUCCAAUCAGUAUGCAGCUCAGGACAAUGAUGAUUUCAUAUCAUCAGAAUCAGACAGACAAGUACUUCUCAUAAAG